rnacentral:rRNA from 1 species
GACGAACGCUGGCGGCGUGCCUAAUACAUGCAGGUAGAACGCUGAAGGAGGAGCUAGCUUCUCUGGAUGAGUUGCGAACGGGUGAGUAACGCGUAGGUAACCUGCCUGGUAGCGGGGGAUAACUAUUGGAAACGAUAGCUAAUACCGCAUAAUAUUGACUAUUGCAUGAUAGUCAGUUGAAAGGUGCAACUGCACCACUACCAGAUGGACCUGCGUUGUAUUAGCUAGUUGGUGGGGUAACGGCUCACCAAGGCGACGAUACAUAGCCGACCUGAGAGGGUGAUCGGCCACACUGGGACUGAGACACGGCCCAGACUCCUACGGGAGGCAGCAGUAGGGAAUCUUCGGCAAUGGACGGAAGUCUGACCGAGCAACGCCGCGUGAGUGAAGAAGGUUUUCGGAUCGUAAAGCUCUGUUGUAAGAGAAGAACGAGUGUGAGAGUGGAAAGCUCACACUGUGACGGUAUCUUACCAGAAAGGGACGGCUAACUACGUG